AAAAUCCUGCCUGGUGCGCGGACCGUUGCAUAGGUAACCCUACACCCUUAUUUUCGGGAGCCACUUCUCCGCUGACGGACUGCAGACCUCCCGUUUUCGGAAGAAGGGAGUAUGAACUCAGUGGGAGGGCACCCACCUGCUUCUUUUAGUAGCAGGUUACUCUUAGCACAUUACGGCCAGGCGGGCUUUGU
rnacentral:other from 1 species